AACAAUCUUAAUCAAACAAUGUAGAGUAUUUAUCAGCUACAGCCAAAAGUAUUAAGAAUUUGUACUUGACAUAGACUCCAUAGAAAUUGUACAAAGAGAGGAGAAGGAAUAUAAAUGUUCUCAUUUAUUUGGUGGAGGACCAAAGAUGGACCAAAAAAUAACUUAGCCAAUCGCACUUCAAGGCAAGCAAGAAGAAACUAUAUGGGCCAAUUACAGUGUUUCAUUUAUUAUGAAAGUUAUUUGGACCAAUUUUACCAUCAAUUCCAAUAAAUCUUGAU
rnacentral:lncRNA from 1 species